UUCUUCGGAGAUAGAGACCGGCGCACGGGUGCGUAACGCGUAUGCAAUCUACCUUUUACAGAGGGAUAGCCCAGAGAAAUUUGGAUUAAUACCUCAUAGUAUAUAGACUCGGCAUCGAGAUUAUAUUAAAGUCACAACGGUAAAAGAUGAGCAUGCGUCCCAUUAGCUAGUUGGUAAGGUAACGGCUUACCAAGGCUACGAUGGGUAGGGGUCCUGAGAGGGAGAUCCCCCACACUGGUACUGAGACACGGACCAGACUCCUACGGGAGGCAGCAGUGAGGAAUAUUGGACAAUGGGCGCAAGCCUGAUCCAGCCAUGCCGCGUGCAGGAUGACGGUCCUAUGGAUUGUAAACUGCUUUUAUACGAGAAGAAACACUGCUACGUGUAGCAGCUUGACGGUAUCGUAAGAAUAAGGAUCGGCUAACUCCGUGCCAGCAGCCGCGGUAAUACGGAGGAUCCAAGCGUUAUCCGGAAUCAUUGGGUUUAAAGGGUCCGUAGGCGGUUUAAUAAGUCAGUGGUGAAAGCCCAUCGCUCAACGGUGGAACGGCCAUUGAUACUGUUAGACUUGAAUUAUUAGGAAGUAACUAGAAUAUGUAGUGUAGCGGUGAAAUGCUUAGAGAUUACAUGGAAUACCAAUUGCGAAGGCAGGUUACUACUAAUUGAUUGACGCUGAUGGACGAAAGCGUGGGUAGCGAACAGGAUUAGAUACCCUGGUAGUCCACGCCGUAAACGAUGGAUACUAGCUGUUGGGAGCAAUCUCAGUGGCUAAGCGAAAGUGAUAAGUAUCCCACCUGGGG
rnacentral:rRNA from 1 species